AGUCCACUUCUGCCAGGCAAACACAGACAGUUUCUAGUUGCAAGAUAUCCCCCAUGGCAGAGAAAAAAAAAAGUUUCUUCUGGGAUGCAGACAAUCCAGGAAUCAGUGAUAAUCCACUGACCUUUCUAGGAAGUAAGAGCAAAGAACAAACAGGUUAGAUUCUGAGAAGCUGUUUCUAAGUUUGAUGGUUUUUUUUUUCCUAAGCCUGAGGCACUGAGAAGGGUUCAAGCUUGUAUUCUCCAGAUGCAAGAUUUACUGUUACAGCACACUGAAGUCCUGAGCCCUCCGCCACCCGCAAGGCCUUCCUCGGAGACAGGGACCUAUCCAGAGAUGUCUCUGUCACUGUCAGGAUGCGCUGCAAGUGGACAAAGGGUUUCCUUCGUGUUGACCCUAAGAAGACCUCGACUUGAUCAAGGAAGAACUGAGCAUGGCUUGCAGUAGAGACAGUCACACACAGCUUCCCAUGAAUAGGUGUGGGCCUGAUCAUCUUAGCACCUUCUCUAGCCUUCAAGAAGCUCUCAAAAUCAGGGCCAUCUUGGUAUUUCACUAGCUGCUUCUUUCUUUUUUUGAUAUUUUAAGAGACAGGGACUUGCUAUGUUGCCCAGGUUGGACUUGUAUUCCUGGGCUCAAGCCAUUAUCCUGCCCCAGGGCUCCCAAGUAGCUGGGACUACAGGCCUGUGCCACCUCACCCACCCUCGCUGUUUAUUUCAAUGAACUGCAGGUUGAUGAUGAUCAAUCUUCUUUCCUAAUCUCCUGGUUGAAAUUAGGGAUAUUCAGAUUUUUUUGAAGUGGAGACUAUCAGGGUGUUAGAAGACCUAGUUCUGAACCUGCUCUCUGCUAACUUACCAUACGACUUUAGGCAAGUUGCUGCCCCACUAAGAACUUCAGUCUUAUCUGUGAAAUCAAGGGACUGGACUAAGUGGUCUCCGAGAUCCCCUCCAGCUGAAACCAUCUCCUGUACUGUCCACUAUUAUAGCAAAUAACCACACAUGGCUGAUUAAAUCUAAAUUAAUGAAAUAAAAGUCAGAAUGUAGUUCCUCAAUCUCACUAAUCAUAUGUCAAGGGCUUUAAUAGCCAUGUGUGGCCAGUGGCUGCCAGGUUGAACAGUGUAGUUCUCCUGCUCUCAUUUUAUUGAUGAUCAUGGUUUCAUAACAAAACCUGCCAGUUGAAGACCACUUUCACGUGUAUGGUGCAUUUUAAUACACGCUUACAUUUAACUACCCAAAAUAGGCAAGAGAGAUAUUCUAAUAUCUGCCUUAUCAGAUGAGGACACUAACUCAAAGAGUAAAUUACUUGCUAUAGGGUCAUACCACUAAUGACUAAAUGUAGUUUCCAAGCCCAGGACUCUCUAACACAUGGUACAAAGUCAUGACGAGAAGACAUGUGCCCCCUGGCCAAAACUAUUCAACCCAUGGUAGCACCAGAACUGAGAUCCAGGGAUUAAGGGCUGAUCUGGAGACCCUGUGCCUUGGUGUAGACCUUAGCUCAGCACAUCCUAGCUGUGUGACCAUGGGCAAGUUAUUUAAUAUCUCUGGGCUCCUUUCUAGUCCUCUGUUAAAUGGGAAUGACCACAGGAUCCACUGCUUAUGAGAACUGCACAAGUAGAUGCAAAUAAAAUGCUUUGCAUGGGAGGUCAGGCACCUAACAAUGGCUCACUUAGCAUCGCCACUGCCUUCAUUUUACUCCAGGCCCUUGCACGUCCUCACUGCCCCAAAUAGACCGAUGGCCCCUGCAGCCUUACUCCCAACUUGUCUAAAGAAAGUUGCUACUCUUAGGCAUGGACAACAGCUUGCUUUUUGAAACCUACUGAGUAGUUUGGCCUCAUAGCCUCCUGGGGCUGUGAGCACUCUGUAUUAAUUACAAGUUGUACAGGAAGAGCGCUUUCUGAGGGAUCGGAUUAACCCACCUGGGCAGUGUGCCAUGAGCAAAUGGCUUUUCCCCCUAUAAUUUUUUGAAACUCUUCAGUGGCAGGAACCCACCAUAUACCUGCCCCCAAGGAAGACCUGACCCACAGUAGGUGCCACCAGUGCAUAUGGCAAGAGGGGUGAGGAGGUGUAGGGGCCACCCCAAGAGCCUCCAGCACAGCACUCUGCCCUGGAGCAGGGUACAACAGACUGCAAAGCUGGCUCUGCCCAGACUAAAUUUUAUCUUCUGCAAAAGGCAAAGCAGACACACAUAUCCCCUGGUGAUGGUUUUUCCUUCCCUGUCCCACCACAGUGUACUGUUUGAAAGAACAAUAUUUACACUGAUGUUGCAGCAGGAGUGGGGGCCAGGCUACAAAGCGGAAACUGGGCUCCACCAGAGCAGGAGGGAGGGUCUGGGCCCAGCACCGACUCCAGAGGUGUUUUCCUCUGCCCUCCUAUCCUCUCAGGGGCCUGCCCUGGGGACUGAGGAAGCCAGGAAGGAUCAUCUGGCCCCAUGUCACUUCUCCAGGGGCCAGGAAUGGAACUACCAUCAGAACCUAGGUCACUCUUAAUGCAGGAAAAUGAAUAGCUACUGGAUGCAGCUAUUGGGCAUCCAUGGAAUGCAAGAUGCAGCGUGAACCAUUAACAGUGGCUUCUAUCUGCUGGUUUCCACAUAACACAACCAAGGCCACAGGCAUGCCAAUGUAGAGGAGGCACUCAGUCACUCACAUGCUUAUUUAUUUGUUCAUUCAUUCAACAAUGACUUACUGAGCACUUGGUCUCAGGGAUGAUUUUGCGCUAAGUAAAACAUGGUUCCUUUAGCAAGAAAUUCAAUAACCAGUGGGGAACACAGAAGGACAAAAAUCAAAUUAUAGUAUGUUAAGUGCUAAAACUGAGACACAAAGAGUUAAGGGGUGCACAGAGAUCCAGGGUCCUCUUCCAGGAGGAGAUGUAUGGGAUCUGGGUCUCAGUAGGCAAAUGAGAAUUUGUGUUGGGCUGGGGGGUGGGGGGUAUCAGGGGAGCAAUCUUGUGCAGCCUUAUAGACCACUGUAGAGACUUUUACUCCGAGAGACGUGGAGAGCCCUUGGAGGGUGUGGGGCAGAGGUGUGAUAUGAUCCGAAUGUGCAUUUUCAUGGGAUCACUCUAGCUGUUCUGUUGAUAACAGAUUGGGAUUGGGAGGGGGAGAAUGGAAGCAAGGAGACCAGUUAGGGGAUUAUUGCAAAAUUCAAGUGAAAGUUGAUGGGGGCUUAUUGACUCAAGCCCCUAAAAAAAAUUGUCACUGCCUUUAUUUUAGCAGAGCCUGCUAUAUAGUAGAUGUACAAUCAGUGUUAAAUUAUACCAGCCAUUCGUGAUAUUUUUUAACCACCUGGCCAGAGCAAACCUUCUCCCUUCUUCGGCAGCUGUCAGAGUCUCUAUCUUCCCAUUUAUUGUGCUCAUUUUCCUCUAAGUCUUCAAAUAACCACCAGGCCUGUCGAGUUUCCCUUCAUAGUACCCUCUCUGGAUCUAAGCGCUUUGCAGAGUGUCUGCCCCAUCUCUGGGGUGGUUGGAAAUCAAUUAAGGGGAUCCUGCUUUGGAGAAUCAUACCAGUUCAAGCCAGGUUCGAUCAUGAGGGUACCCUAAAAAUUCCCACAGACCCAGUCAUUGCUCUUACGGUUCAGUACCAGAGAUAUGGAAAGACAGAUAUCAAAAUGCCACGUGAGUACAAUAGACACCAUUCUUCCCGGAGUUCCUAGGAGAUACCUUGGCUGUCUUACAGAAGACCCUCUUUUGUUUCAUCUCUCUCCCUUCUAGGGUGAGCAGUGUCCUUAAAGGAAGCAUUUAGAGGAAAAUGUCUCCACAAGCCUGAUCCCUUUCUCUGAAAGCAUAAUAAUGCUCAAGAAUGACAACAAUGUAAAUCGCCAGGAUCAUUAGCGGAACCUCGAUGAAUUAAAAUGGCUCACAUCAGGGUAAGAUUAGGUCAGCUGCAUUGAAGGGAGCCAGAGUGCUGGGGUUUGCUGACUUCCAAGCAUUUCAAAACCAAAUAUUGUCAGAGCCCCACCGUCUCAGUCUCAGCAGCAUGGAUAGUCAACCCCUGAUAAGAUCAUCCUUGUCUGGAAAGGACCAAAUUACCGUGCUGUUCAGUCUCUAAGACCCCUUCAUUACCCAUCCCGCAAAGACAAAUUACCCUGGAAAUGCUGAAAGGAGUGAGCCUCUAAAAAGGCUCCAUCUGCUCCAUGGAGAAAGGGCUACUUCUGCUCACAACACAGGUGGAGGUGAAGGGCUAUGCAGAAAGUCCAAGAGUUCGCCUCAAGAGAAAAAUGGCAUUGAAAUCAUCAAGCAAGCCCAGGAAAGUCUGAAUGCCCCAAGAGGUGAAAAUCCUAAAAGCAAAAUAGAGCCAUUAUGUCUCAAGCCGAGGGAAAGCUUGAGAGAUUCUGGUGCCUGAAACAAAUAACAGGAAAACUAUGUCA
rnacentral:lncRNA from 10 species